AAUUACAAGAUACAGUAUGCCAUUCCAGCUUUGAUGAAAUAAAGUAAUGGUUUGAUUUGGAGAGCUUUAUUAUUAUAGACAGGGAUGAUGACCUGCAGUAGAAAGUUCCUUAUAACUCAUCAUGGCCAUUACGGAAGAUCUGAUUAAAAUUUGUUUAGAAAGCCACCAAAUAUGUCCAUGAAAAGUAAAAAAAAGACAGCAAUCUAUAUAAUGUACAUAUAUGUACUAAGCAGAAGCAUUGACUGUUUCGAGACCAAAUGAAUUGGAAUUUAGUGUUUUGAUGCUGAGAGACAGAGGAAAAUUAACUGGACAAUUUAGCUUCUUUUUCAUCAUCAUGUAUCACUGAAGUUGAUGUUUACCAUCUUAAAGAGCUUUUACCUCAGUUAAAAUGAAUUCUAAAUACGGAUAGUUUGGAGAUUUGUGAAUUUUCUUACAAUUGGAGUUUCAAAAAAGGAUUUUUUUAAACAAAAUUAUAUUUCAUGGAUGUAAUUUGUCGUUUCUUUCAUGAAAUAUUUGAAAAAUCUGCAAUACAUUUGUAUCUGACCAAGUGAGAGAUCUACAAAUAGACAUAUGAUAUUCAGUUGAACUGUAAAGAAGGAGAUAUUCAUUUAUAAGACUUAUAUGAGUGUUUUGUUAUUUUUAUGGCAAUUACGGGGAAAAGAUAGUAAUUGAUUUAAACUUUAAUCCUACCUUGAUAUACAUGAGAUAUACUAUCAUAACAUGUAGGCAUACAAUUCACUGAUGCAUCACUAAUGGAGUUACAUGUAAUUAUAAAACUAAGAAUAUGACAUAUGAUUGCCAAUAAAUUAACAACUCUUCAUCAGAGAACAAAUAGUCAUAUUAUAUAUUGUCCACCAGCAUGACCAGAGAACAAGAACAUCAUAUUUUAUCAUGAUUUAUAUUUCAAUUUCAUUUCAUUUCAUAACAGUUAACACAGAAUAAAGGUAUACAAAAAGUUCAGAAGCAUAAAAAAGUGUUUUAAUUGCA